CAGUGGAAACCCCCGAGACUGAAGAGGCUAUAGAGCAAAGUUGAGGCUUUGCAUCAUAAAGAGAGCCCCAAAGAGGCUAUUGGUGGAAGUGCAGCCCAGGUGGAGGAAGAGACGCCAGCAUUUUGGAGAUGGCAGUACUAUGAGGUGACUUCUGAGAACAGCAGCAGCAGUAGAGUGGAGCUGGUCUGAGUCUAUAAGACAAGCUGUGUGUGCUGCUGAGGGUGGAGCCUGAGAAGUGACCCAGGCCCCGUGGAGGAGCCCAGCAGAUCAAGCUCCCGAGUCAGGCUUCCACUUCCAGAGAGACAGGCCAACCUGUUCAGUUUUCCUAUUAGCAGUCACACUGGAGAAGCAAUCUGGGCUGCAGCCACCCAUGAGAACUCGGAAACCUCGGCCACAUCUGAGCUUGUGACAUUUGAGUGACGACCUCCUUGGCAGUUCGUACCCAAGAAGAGAAAGAACGUGCAACAAUAACCUCAGCGGAAAUCCCAGUUCCACUGGUGAGCUACUGAAUACUUAUUGAUUAAGAGAGCUCAUGACAACCAAGUCUUCAUCUUCCUGUAAAAGUUGAAGCUGUUAUCAGCAACAAGAAAAGAGUAAAAGACAGGAGGCUCCAUGGGAAGUAUGCCGGUGUUUUUCACUUCAGGGAUUUACUUCUUCAUCACUAUGCAGAAAUACACUGAGAGGAAAAACUAACAAAUGUGGAUAAAGCAGAGCAUUGUCAGUUCCUCUGGGGUAAUGACAGUGUUCGCUCCUGUCUGUAGUCCUGUGGUUAACUUUGCUGAUGAAUUCCCAGGUCAUCUGAUGUUCAAAGUCCCAUCAUGUCCUUCAGCUUCUGCUUGAUCUGGUUGAGGCAAGAUCACGUGUCUGUAAUCCUAGUGUUGCUACAGAGACAGAAGAGUCCCCAGAAUUCUCAUGGGCCACAUAGCCUGGGUAUGCAGCGGCAAACAAGGAGCCUACAUCAACCAAAGUAGAAGUCAAUGGCCAGACACUGUCCCCUGACCUAUACAUGUGUGCUAUGGGAGUGCUCACACACACACACACACACACACACACACACACACACACACACACACACAGUUUCAGAGCCUCCAUUCCUACCUUGAUUUUAAAUGACUUGUUCCUUCAUCAGAAUUACCUAGGACGAUGGGGUGAUGCCCAGGUGUCAAAUUGUAACCAUCAUCCUAGGUGAUUCUGAUGCCAGCAAUGGGGGGCUGUAUUCUUAGGGUUGCUGGCUUGACUUUGGUCUCAGCGAUCUUUCCUAGUCAUUUAUUUCAAGGUCCCCAUUUCUUUCUAUCAGACACAGAGAGUUCAUAGAAGCCAGUGUAGACAAGUUAAACUACAUUAGACAUAGUUCCCACUAAGGAAGAGAGGGAUCCUCGCUUGUCCUUUCUCAGUUUUAUUCUCCUAGACCAUGACCCAAAAGAAUAGAGAUGAAAUAAUCUAUAAUAUGCAAGCAAAAAGAUCUUUUCUUUUAGUUUUGAAUGCACAUUCUUAUUAAAUUGUUGUUAAUUCAUACAUGUUGUAUAUUUCAUAUACAUGAAAGUUAUAAUAAUUUUUAUUAUGUGAUGAAUUAACACCAUUGAUAUAGCCUAUAGUAAAAUGUUGUUUGUAGGUAAGUGUUUUAAAACAUUACAUUUUCUUAUGUGACAGCGUGUUAAUUCCAACAGCAUGAUGAGUUGCAUUCAUCUGUUAUGUUAGUCUUUAACUUUAUAUGCAGGAUUAUGUAACAUGUAAAAAUAAACAAUUUAAUGUACUAUAUACAUUCUUCUGUAGGUUCUAAAGGAUAAACAUUUGAAAAAUAUUCAUGUUUUACAAUGCAACAUUAAUUUGUACCCCACCUUCUGUUUUCUAUUUAUGUCUAUCUAUUUCAGUUAGUUCCCACUGAUUAUUUAGGUGAUGACUUUUUUUGACUAUUAAAAUUUUGCUGAAUUGUAUCUAUACAUAUUCUGGAGUUUCUUAGGUUCUAGAACCCAGCUCUGGCAUU